AGCUGGUUCCCUCCGAAGUUUCCCUCAGGAUAGCUGGAGCCCAUUACGAGUUCUAUCAGGUAAAGCCAAUGAUUAGAGGCAUUGGGGACGCAACGUCCUCGAUGUAUUCUCAAACUUUAAAUAGGUAGGAUGGCUCGGCUGCUUCGGUGAGCCGUGCCACGGAAUCGGGUGCUCCAAGUGGGCCAUUUUUGGUAAGCAGAACUGGCGAUGCGGGAUGAACCGG
rnacentral:ncRNA from 1 species